UGCGGUCGCGCUUUCGCGAAGCCGCGCGAUUGAAUCUUCUUUCGAGUGGGUUCUAAACCCCACUCCUUUUUAAAAACGCGAUCUGCCUUUCGCAUACGCGGAUUGUCUUCUUGAUGCGUCUUGUUGUACGAGCAAGGGCGCUUGCACCAGACGCCGCAGUUCUCAAGCGUCGGCUCGCCACCAAGGCCGUCAGCAUCGAGGUGCUCGUAUUCGAUGUUUCCAGACACCAGGUCAUUGCCGCAGUUUUCACAUUGAGGAACGCCCGGCUUUG
rnacentral:misc_RNA from 1 species